CUUGGUGGUCAUAGCGCAUGCAAAACACCCGAUCCCAUCCCGAACUCGGCCGUUAAGUGCUGCAGCGCCGAUGGUACUGCGUCUUAAGGCGUGGGAGAGUAGGUCACUGCCAGGC
rnacentral:rRNA from 2 species